ACAACCGUUGGCGAUCGCUAUACAAACUUUACCAUUCGUUUUACCAAUCUUAACGUAUGUACAUAAAUAAUGAAUUCCUUAAUGGUGAUCAAGCUGUGCACAGAUGUUUGGUAGAAAUCAUUGGUUCUUGCGCUAGAAUAUAGAGUUUGAUUAUCCGUUGACUGAUUGUGAGCACCGGAGUGAGGGUUUGUAUUGUUAAUUCCUUGUUGCAAUUCAAAUGACGCAGCUAGGCUCGAUAUUAAAUGGCGACGUGUUGGCAAGACAGGAAUUCUGUCGAUAAGUUAGAGGUUUGAGCGAAACUUCUAUGGUAACAGAAAUGACCGCACAUUCAUCAACUAUUUAAAUUGCUGUCUGAUGCUGUGGCAUCGCGGUUAUUUAAUUCAUUGUAUUGUGGCAUAAAAUAGGCGUGUUCUACGGAAGCUUGGUGGGGACAUCUGAUUAGCUUUGUAUGUGGCCCUGUUGGCCACAUAUACACAUACCGAGGCCUGCCGAGCUUUGCUUCUCAUUUAAUUACACCCUAUAAUAUCGGAUUCUGAGUCUCAAUAUUCAGCAACAUUUGUAUUGUAUGUAGAUGUGUCUAUAUGUAGAGUCAUUUGGGUUAACUGCGCGCAACGGAUGGCGAAUGCGAAAAUGAUUUCCUUGGUUUUAACCGCUUGAUACAUCAAUGAUCACGUUAACUGCGGUUGGUAUGCACCCCUAAGUCCAAGAAAGGCUUCAAGUGCUGCUAGUUCAAAAAACUGGUUGACUGGGCCAGUGAGAGGGCGAAAGCUCGCGGCACUUUACUACCAAAGUAGAUGGGAACAUCGACACACAGUCAGUUAGAUGUCCCUACCGGCCUUUCAUAGUAGAGAGCGUUGGUAAAAGCGUUGACUGAAAUGAACAAAAUGAACGAUGACCAAAAAUCAAUGAUCUGAAAAUUAUUGGAAAUACAUUUGGAUAAUUUAUUAUCUUUUGUAUACUGCACACAUUGACCUGCACAACCAAUUCUUUAUUAAAAAAUGAAAAAUGUAUGACUACAUG